CAAUAGCGUAUAUUUAAGUUGUUGCAGUUAAAAAGCUCGUAGUUGGAUUUCGGGUGGGACGCAGCGGUCUCGCAUUGCGUUUGUACUGCUGCAGCCCUCCUUCUUGCCGGGGGCGGCCUCUCGGACUUCACUGUCUGGGGGUCAGAAUCGGCGAUGUUACUUUGAGUAAAUUAGAGUGUUCAAAGCAAGCUUACGCUCUGAAUAUAAUAGCAUGGGAUAACACGACAGGACUCUGGCCUAUCGUGUUGGUCUAUAGGACCAGAGUAAUGAUUAAGAGGGACAGUCGGGGGCAUUCGUAUUCCGUUGUCAGAGGUGAAAUUCUUGGAUUUAUGAAAGACGAACUUCUGCGAAAGCAUUUGUCAAGGAUGUUUNCAUUAA
rnacentral:rRNA from 1 species